rnacentral:rRNA from 1 species
GAUGAACGCUAGCGGCAGGCCUAACACAUGCAAGUCGAGGGGCAUCAUGGCGUAGCAAUACGCUGAUGGCGACCGGCGCACGGGUGCGUAACGCGUAUGGAACCUACCCACCGCAGGGGGAUAACCCGCCGAAAGGCGGACUAAUACCCCAUGGUUCCCCGACCCUGCCUGGGGUUGGGGGUAAAGCCUACGGGCGGCGGUGGAUGGCCCUGCGUGCCAUUAGCUGGCUGGUGGGGUAACGGCCCACCAGGGCGACGAUGGCUAGGGGGUCUGAGAGGACGAUCCCCCACACUGGUACUGAGACACGGACCAGACUCCUACGGGAGGCAGCAGUGAGGAAUAUUGGUCAAUGGGCGGAAGCCUGAACCAGCCAUGCCGCGUGCAGGAUGACGGCCCUACGGGUUGUAAACUGCUUUUAUAUGGGAGCGAAUAAGGUUUACGCGUAGACCGAUGAGAGUACCAUAUGAAUAAGCAUCGGCUAACUCCGUGCCCAGCAGCCGCGGUAAA